AGAAUCAACGCUGGCGGCGUGCCUAACACAUGCAAGUCGCACGAGAAAGGGUAGCAAUACCUGAGUACAGUGGCGCACGGGUGAGUAACACGUGAAUAAUCUACCUCCGAGUGGGGAAUAACUGAGAGAAAUCUUAGCUAAUACCGCAUAAUACCCACGGGUCAAAGCAGCAAUGCGCUUGGAGAGGAGUUCGCGGCAGAUUAGUUAGUUGGCGGGGUAAUGGCCCACCAAGACGAUGAUCUGUAUCCGGCCUGAGAGGGCGCACGGACACACUGGAACUGAAACACGGUCCAGACUCCUACGGGAGGCAGCAGUGGGGAAUUUUGCGCAAUGGGGGAAACCCUGACGCAGCAACGCCGCGUGGAGGAUGAAGCCCCUUGGGGUGUAACUCCUUUCGAUCGGGAAGAUAAUGACGGUACCGAUAUAAGAAGCCCCGGCUAACUUCGCGCCAGCAGCCGC
rnacentral:rRNA from 1 species